rnacentral:lncRNA from 7 species
AGUGUCCGAGCCAAAUGUGUUACAACACAGUCCAAUAAUUGCUUGAAUGUUAUAUUGGAGGGGAGUUUUGUCGAGAAAUAUCUAAUCCAUUAUGAAACAUUUAAUUGAAAAAAUAUUGCUUUUAUUGAAAUAAAUUCCACUAGUAGAUUACAAAUAACAAAACAACAAGUAGAGAGAAGAAUAGCUCAAGUUAGUCAACACGUAAGUCUUUCUAUGUUCUUUGUAUUCAUCCUCAAAUGACACUAUUUCACUUUUUAAUUUCAGUUAUUACUGUGAUAAUGGCAUUCAGGUUGUCAGCACAGUGUGACAAUAGCUGUAAAGAAAUUCUAUCUUAAUCUUCAGAAAGAAAUUCAUUCAUUUUAAUACACAAAGUAGACCCUGCCAGCACAAGGAGAAGCCACUUCUUACAUUCAAGUGACCUGGAUAAUACUACCUACCACACAUCAACAUAUAUACCCUUGUAUUUAGUAUCUUGCAAGGAAGUUUACUAGAUUUACAGUGAAGAGAUCAGAAGAAAAUCACUCAAAAGUAGAUUUACUGGGAAAGAAUGGAGAAAAUACAGGCUCUGUCACUGGCUUCUGACUUCUACUCCUCUGCCAUAGGACUGGAUAGGUGCUGGUAAGCUACCACUGCCUAUUGCAAAUUUUAUUUGAGCUCCCCACAUUUCAUGCACAGAAUGGGGAAGAAGAAGAGAUUCUGUAGUGGUGUGCAGAGUCCUGAGCUUCUCCUUGGAUUCUCCCUCACAUUGCUGCCCUGUCCCAUCAGGUAUUGCUCCGGUGACAUGCCCUGUUUUAUAAUAAGGCUUAAUUUAAGUGAAGUCCAUGCUUUGCCUCCUACAGUGUAGAUAUAAUUUCAGAUAAUUGUUGCUCUGCUUGCAGUCCUCUCCCUAAUUAUAACAAAAGAUAAUAUGUUCUUGUUCCCACUGACAUUCUUCACUUUAACUUGUGUCAUAACUCAAUGUAUCCCUGCUUUGCCUCCAGAAAAAUUGAGUAAUUAAUGAAAAUCUUCAAUACCAAGCAAAGUUUUUUAUCUCCUGUUGGAUGCAAAGGCAAAUCUUUCUCUAUUUUUAGAGCCUUCAACAUCAGGGCUUCCCUGGGCUUUGCUUUCAUUCUUACUUUUGCAUAUCCAAAAGAACUUUCUGGCUGACAAGCAUUGCACAAAGUGAAGGCAGGGUGAUGCAUUUAAUAUACAUUUCUACAUAACCUUCAUGUCAAAAAGUAAUUUCCUGAACCAUUUCCUGGAUUUCUGAGGGCUUUGCCAAAAAUUACAACUUUGUGUCAAAAACGUGGAAGCUAUUCUAGUGUGAAUAAAAAUGUGUAUUAAAAAAAGGCUUUUUUUGGAAUAUCUCUUUGCUUUGAUUGUAAAUUUCAGAUUCCUCUUGGACUUUGUGUGGUAAGAUAUUCUGUUAUGCUGAUGAAAUCUAGUGUGCUUAUAGCAUUUAGUGCAUUUUUUAUUUUAGUGUGACUUAUUUUUAUGAAAUAUAGUGCCUAAAAUCUGAGAUAUCUUCAAGAGGUAACUUUGAUCAUGUUCUGGCCCCAGAUCAUUCCUGAUGGACCUGUCCUUCUGACUGUUGAGGAAUCAUGGUGGUAGAGAUUUCACAGCUCCCUCUGACAUCACUAUUCAUGACUACACUGUAUAUAAGAGCUAAAAAGUAGCACAUUCGAUUAUUCUUUACAGUAAUAUAUGCCCAUUACUUCUUUCUCUUCCCACCAUGUACAUCUGAAAUGACCCUAAAAAACUCUGUGUUGGUGUCUGAAUAGAAGUUGGUAUUCCAAACAGGCCUUGGAUGGGAGGAUUACAUCACAGACCUGAUUUGUGCACAUUUGUAUUACCUUAUGAAACCCAAAGAAGAAAAUAUCAUUUAGAAAAGGAAUCACUGGAUGUGGGAAGAAAGGACCCUGGAAAGGCUCAGCACUGUCUGCAGAAGUUAACCUAGCCAACAGAUUGGAACAUCUGCCUUUAUAUUCCCAUGGAUGUACCAUAAGAAGUAAAUCAUCUCCUCUCACUUCCCCGGAAGGGCCAAAUGUGACUUCCUGAGUCACUCAUUCUGGAUGCAGUGAGGUUUUCUGGUGUAGAAUGUACAUACUUGGGCCUCAUCUCAUCUGCCGUAUGGAGUUCAGCUACUGGAUUGCAAAUAGGAAUAAAGUAAGCCGGUGCCACAGGAAAAAGGAGUAGCAAACUCUCUUCUCUCCACUCCUCGAGUUCCUCUGAAAUGACACUAGCAAAAACUGCGUCAAAUUUGUGGCUAUUGAUAUGCAGAUGUUACAGUCUUUCACUGCGUCGGGACAAAGAUGACUGCAUUACCAUGUCUGUUUUGCACAUAAAUGUGUAUAUUAUCGCAGUGCCCCCGCUUCCUGCAAAAUGAUAGCAAUUGAUGUUCAAACAGGACAGGCAACGCAAGACAAAAACCACAAAUAAAUUGCACUC